GAGGGUAUAGCUCAGUGGUAGAGCGCAUGCCUAGCAUGCCCAAGGUCCUGGGUUCAAUCCCCAGUGCCUUCA
rnacentral:tRNA from 1 species